UAGUUUGAAUUGAACUUUCAACCAGUGAC
rnacentral:piRNA from 1 species